rnacentral:rRNA from 1 species
UACGUAGGGGGCUAGCGUUGUCCGGAAUCAUUGGGCGUAAAGAGCGUGUAGGCGGUCCGGUAAGUCCGCUGUGAAAGUCGGGGGCUCAACCCUCGAAUGCCGGUGGAUACUGUCGGGCUAGAGUGCGGAAGAGGCGAGUGGAAUUCCUGGUGUAGCGGUGAAAUGCGAAGAUAUCAGGAGGAACACCUAUUGCGAAGGCAGCUCGCUGGGACGUAACUGACGCUGAGACGCGAAAGCGUGGGGAGCAAACAGG